AGCGAACGCUGGCGGCAGGCCUAACACAUGCAAGUCGAACGAAGUCUUCGGACUUAGUGGCGGACGGGUGAGUAACACGUGGGAACGUGCCUUUAGGUUCGGAAUAACUCGGGGAAACUUGUGCUAAUACCGAAUGUGCUCUUCGGGGGAAAGAUUUAUCGCCUUUAGAGCGGCCCGCGUCUGAUUAGCUAGUUGGUGAGGUAAAGGCUCACCAAGGCUACGAUCAGUAGCUGGUCUGAGAGGGUGACCAGCCACAUUGGGACUGAGACACGGCCCAAACUCCUACGGGAGGCAGCAGUGGGGAAUCUUGCGCAAUGGGCGAAAGCCUGACGCAGCCAUGCCGCGUGGAUGAUGAAGGUCUUAGGAUUGUAAAAUCCUUUCACCGGUGAAGAUAAUGACUGUAGCCGGAGAAGGAGCCCCGGCUAACUUCGUGCCAGCCGCCGCCGUAAGAC
rnacentral:rRNA from 1 species